GAUUUCUGGCUUUGUGUAUUCGGCCCGCCGGGGUUACCCGUGUGAGUGCCGAGGUGCGCAUGCCAUCCUUCUAGUUCGAGUUUGCCCCUUCAUUGGUGGUGAGCUAGGUCUAGAUCGUUUACUUUGAAAAAAUUAGAGUGUUUAAAGCAGGCUUUUGCUAUGAAUACAUUAGCAUGGAAUAAUAAUUUAGGACUUCGGUUCUAUUUUGUUGGUUUUGCGUACUGAAGUAAUGAUUGAUAGGGAUAGUUGGGGGUGCUAGUAUUCAGUGGCCAGAGGUGAAAUUCUCGGAUUCACUGAAGACUAACUUAUGCGAAAGCAUU
rnacentral:rRNA from 1 species